rnacentral:rRNA from 1 species
UAGGGAAUCUUCGGCAAUGGACGAAAGUCUGACCGAGCAACGCCGCGUGAGUGAAGAAGGUUUUCGGAUCGUAAAACUCUGUUGUUAGAGAAGAACAAGGACGUUAGUAACUGAACGUCCCCUGACGGUAUCUAACCAGACAGCCACGGCUAACUACGUGCCAGCAGCCGCGGUAAUACGUAGGUGGCAAGCGUUGUCCGGAUUUAUUGGGCGUAAAGCGAGCGCAGGCGGUUUCUUAAGUCUGAUGUGAAAGCCCCCGGCUCAACCGGGGAGGGUCAUUGGAAACGGGGAGACUUGAGUGCAGAAGAGGAGAGUGGAAUUCCAUGUGUAGCGGUGAAAUGCGUAGAUAUAUGGAGGAACACCAGUGGCGAAGGCGGCUCUCUGGUCUGUAACUGACGCUGAGGCUCGAAAGCGUGGGGAGCAAACAGG